rnacentral:tRNA from 1 species
GGACAGGUGGCAGAGUGGUCGAAUGCACCGGUCUUGAAAACCGGCGUGGGUGCAAGCUCACCGUGGGUUCGAAUCCCACCCUGUCCG